AACAGGAUUAGAUACCCUGGUAGUCCACGCCCUAAACGAUGUCUACUAGUUGUUGGUGGAGUAAAAUCCAUUAGUAACGCAGCUAACGCGUGAAGUAGACCGCCUGGGGAGUACGGUCGCAAGAUUAAAACUCAAAUGAAUUGACGGGGGCCCGCACAAGCGGUGGAUUAUGUGGAUUAAUUCGAUGCAACGCGAAAAACCUUACCUGGCCUUGACAUGCCACUAACGAAGCAGAGAUGCAUUAGGUGCUCGAAAGAGAAAGUGGACACAGGUGCUGCAUGGCUGUCGUCAGCUCGUGUCGUGAGAUGUUGGGUUAAGUCCCGCAACGAGCGCAACCCUUGUCGUUAAUUGCCAUCACUGAGUUGGGCACUUUAACGAGACUGCCGGUGACAAACCGGAGGAAGGUGGGGAUGACGUCAAGUCCUCAUGGCCCUUAUGGCCAGGGCUUCACACGUAAUACAAUGGUCGGUACAGAGGGUUGCCAACCCGCGAGGGGGAGCCAAUCCCAGAAAGCCGAUCGUAGUCCGGAUUGCAGUCUGCAACUCGACUGCAUGAAGUCGGAAUCGCUAGUAAUCGCGGAUCAGCAUGUCGCGGUGAAUACGUUCCCGGGCCUUGUACACACCGCCCGUCACACCAUGGGAGUGGGUUUCACCAGAAGUAGGUAGUCUAACCGCAAGGAGGGCGCUUACCACGGUGGGAUUCAUGACUGGGGUGAAGUCGUAACAAGGUAACC
rnacentral:rRNA from 1 species